rnacentral:rRNA from 1 species
AGAGUUUGAUCCUGGCUCAGAACGAACGCUGGCGGCGUGUCUUAAGCAUGCAAGUCGAGCGGCAAGGCAGAGCAAUCUGCCCUAGAGCGGCGGACUGGUGAGUAACGCGUGGAUGAUCUACCUUUGGGAUGGGGAUAGCCAUUAGAAAUAGUGGGUAAUACCGAAUACGUUCGCAUAAAUACGUUUAUGCGAGGAAAGGCGCUACGGCGCCACCCAUAGAUGAGUCCGCGUCCCAUUAGCUAGUUGGUGAGGUAAAGGCUCACCAAGGCGAUGAUGGGUAGCCGGCCUGAGAGGGUGUACGGCCACAUUGGGACUGAGAUACGGCCCAAACUCCUACGGGAGGCAGCAGCUAAGAAUAUUCCGCAAUGGACGAAAGUCUGACGGAGCGACGCCGCGUGGAUGAUGAAGGCCGAAAGGUUGUAAAAUCCUUUUGUCGGGGAAGAAUAAGCGUGGGAGGGAAUGCCCGCGUGAUGACGUUAACCGGCGAAUAAGCCCCGGCUAACUACGUGCCAGCAGCCGCGGUAACACGUAGGGGGCGAGCGUUGUCCGGAUUCAUUGGGCGUAAAGAGCGCGUAGGCGGCUUGUUAAGCGAGAUGUGAAAACCGGGGGCUUAACCCGCGGCCUGCAUCUCGAACUGGCAGGCUUGAGUCUGGUAGAGGAAAGUGGAAUUCCCAGUGUAGCGGUGAAAUGCGCAGAUAUUGGGAGGAACACCAGUGGCGAAGGCGGCUUUCUGGGCCACGACUGACGCUGAGGCGCGAAAGCUAGGGGAGCAAACAGGAUUAGAUACCCUGGUAGUCC